CGGCACGGGUGAGUAACACGUAUCCAACCUGCCGUCUACUCUUGGACAGCCUUCUGAAAGGAAGAUUAAUACAAGAUGGCAUCAUGAGUUCACAUGUUCACAUGAUUAAAGGUAUUCCGGUAGACGGUGGGGAUGCGUUCCAUUAGAUAGUAGGCGGGGUAACGGCCCACCUAGUCUUCGAUGGAUAGGGGUUCUGAGAGGAAGGUCCCCCACAUUGGAACUGAGACACGGUCCAA
rnacentral:rRNA from 1 species